UAUAAUUGUUUAUGUUUUCGAUCCCCUAGUUUUUUAAACGAAGCAGUUUAAGAGCUACUCGGACAGCAUAUUUUUGUUAUUCAAGAAGUUACCAGACGGCUUUGCUUAAGGAAAUCGGUGAAAUUUUGACCACCGCAAUGUUUGUUUGCUUCAGGAUGUCAUUUUGGAGAUAACUAAACUUGGGAUGAUGCUUAAUACUGAACCGUUUCAUGAUUUCUUUUCACUGCGGAAGUAUUGCAGAAUCUCAAUCAUUAGAAAAAGGAAUGUGCGUCUUGAUUUGGAGCAAUGAAACCCCUGAUCAGUUUAAUUAAAUAUUCUGAACUAAAAUAGAGCGAAAAAAAUUAAUUAUUUGCACUAAUAGUUUGGUGGUGGUUCAUCCACAGGUUAGCUAUGUGUCCUCUGUUUUCAGGUCGCAUUUGAAUCUGUAGGAAAGAAAAUCAGAGGAAAGCCAUGGUUCAUUAGAUUGGACAGGAAAAUACUGAACCUGCAUGACUCCAAAGGGAUGAGUGUCAGAUUAGAACUAUUUCGAUGUCUCGGGCCGUCGGAGUAAUAACUCGUGGAAUUCGUGUCAAGGCUGGGUUUAUCGAAGUUUGGAGCUGCUAGAUGAUACAUUUCAAGAUUCGUUUCGACCCGAGAUACAAAGUUUAACACUGUUUUGUCAACAACUGGAGCAUUAAAUUCAAGUGUUUACCGAAGCAAGUUCGCCAGCUUGAUUAUCCAGGCGGUUAAGAGCUGCGUGCAUUCCAAGGGUAACAAAAGAGACAUUUCAUUCAAGUCAACUUUAAAGAGACUUCGAGGGACAACAGGUGGGAAGUUGUUGCCAUUCACGGUGAUUUUGUGAAAACCUCUACAGCUGGAAUCUUCUUCGUCGCAUCGCCAAGAAAGGUCAUGUUCGUAACAGCCCCGAUGCCAACAGCAAUCGCCACAAAACCAACUCCAGCACCAACAUCCUUUACCGCACAUCCCGCGGC